UACAGAGGGUGCGAGCGUUGUUCGGAAUUAUUGGGCGUAAAGGGCGCGUAGGCGGUGCGGCAAGUCACCUGUGAAACCUCUGGGCUUAACCCAGAGCCUGCAGGCGAAACUGCCGUGCUGGAGUGUGGGAGAGGUGCGUGGAAUUCCCGGUGUAGCGGUGAAAUGCGUAGAUAUCAGGAGGAACACCGGUGGUGUAGACGGCUGACUGGACCAUAACUGACGCUGAGACACGAAAGCGUGGGUAGCAAACAGG
rnacentral:rRNA from 1 species